rfam:Triticum urartu cultivar G1812 contig682181, whole genome shotgun sequence.
GCAAGUGGCACCGGUGCUGAAUGGUUAACCCGAGGAUUAUUGUCUUUUAAGUGUUUUUCUUUAGUGUGCCCCGGUGUGUUUGUUCGGCGUGUGUAACCAUGCAUCGGUGGUAUUUUCCUCUGUCGGAUUAGUUGAUUAGGGGCGCAUUUAUUAGAUAAAAGAUUGAUGCGGGCUCUGCUCGUUGAUCCGAUGAUUCAUGGUAAUCACACGGCCUUCGUGUCGGCGACACAUCAUUCAACUUUUUGCCCUAUCAAUUUUUGAUGGUAGGAUAGGGGCUGACGGGUGACGAAGAAUUAGGGUUCGAUUCCGGAUAGGGAGCCUAAGAAACGGCUACCACAUAUAGAUAAAUCUGC